GGGGGAAAAACAACAGGGAUUGCCCUAGUAACGGCGAGUGAAGCGGCAACAGCUCAAAUUUGAAAUCUGGCCCUCGGGUCCGAGUUGUAAUUUGUAGAGGAUGCUUUUGGUGAGGUACCUUCCGAGUUCCCUGGAACGGGACGCCAUAGAGGGUGAGAGCCCCGUCUGGUUGGAUACCAAUCCUCUGUAAAGCUCCUUCGACGAGUCGAGUAGUUUGGGAAUGCUGCUCUAAAUGGGAGGUAUAUGUCUUCUAAAGCUAAAUACCGGCCAGAGACCGAUAGCGCACAAGUAGAGUGAUCGAAAGAUGAAAAGCACUUUGAAAAGAGGGUUAAACAGUACGUGAAAUUGUUGAAAGGGAAGCGCUUGUGACCAGACUUGGGCCCGGUUAAUCAUCCAGCGUUCUCGCUGGUGCACUUGGCCGGCCCAGGCCAGCAUCAGUUCGGUGCGGGGGAUAAAGGCUUUGGGAAUGUGGCUCCUCCGGGAGUGUUAUAGCCCACUGCGUAAUACCCUGCGCUGGACUGAGGUUCGCGCAUCUGCAAGGAUGCUGGCGUAAUGGUCAUCAGCGACCCGUCUUGAAACACGGACCAAGGAGUCGUCUUCGUAUGCGAGUGUUCGGGUGUUAAACCCCUACGCGUAAUGAAAGUGAACGCAGGUGAGAGCUUCGGCGCAUCAUCGACCGAUCCUGAUGUUCUCGGAUGGAUUUGAGUAAGAGCAUACGGGGCCGGACCCGAAAGAAGGUGAACUAUGCCUGUAUAGGGUGAAGCCAGAGGAAACUCUGGUGGAGGCUCGCAGCGGUUCUGACGUGCAAAUCGAUCGUCAAAUAUGGGCAUGGGGGCGAAAGACUAAUCGAACCUUCUAGUAGCUGGUUUCCGCCGAAGUUUCCCCUCAGGAAAAAGGUCAAACCCCUA
rnacentral:rRNA from 1 species